CAUUUCCUAAUUCUUCUUCCACUUAUGUAUCAUCACUUACCAUUCUCGUAGAUUCAGAAAGCAAAUGCUCCUCUUUUUCGUCUGUAAGAGAAAAAAAAACGAGAGAGAGAUAGUCAAACUCGGCUUUAAGAUUGGUAAGAUGAAAAAACGAGAGAGAGAGAGAUAGUCAAACUCGGCUUUAAGAUUGGAAAUAACAAGAAGUCUAAGGUGCCUUUUAUCAAAGAACCGAGAGGAGGAUUUCAGACCCUGAUGUUAAGUUUGGUAGAGAAAGAAGAUGUAAUGAUAUGUAGCUGUCACGAGACAAGAUUCACGAUUCACGACAACAACCUUUUGACGGGCUGAAACCUUGCACACUUCGGGGGCCAGAGGAUCUUCACGUUGACAAAUAUCCAUAUAUCAUCGCCAUUAUCCAAGAUAAUGUUUCAUCUCUCUUCUUCUGAUCAUUGCUCUGUUAAAAUGCCUUAGUUAAUGUUUAAGAUUUGGUGAGUUAGGUUGUUAGAUUUUAUAGGUUAACUCUAUGAUCUAUUAAUCACGACUCGGACUUUAUAUGUUUGUUAGCUAGUAAAUAUAUUAUUAGACUACAAAUAAAUAUUCUGUUCGGUUUAUGUCUUGAUUAACUAAAGUACAAAUUGUUGCAGAAAAUAUGAUGAACACACUUUGUUGACAUCUCUCCUCUGUAAAAGUGCGGCACUUUUGAACCCUUCGAUUUGUGUAUUCACUCAGGUAAUAUAGUUUCAUCAUAUAGUGGAUAUGCAAACUUGACUCUACAACCAAGUUUUGCAACUCUCGGAUCUACACAACAAACGGAACAUGCUCUCCUUGCAAGUUACGAGACGACAAACAGCUAUGAACUUUUCGAUUGCAUCAUUAAUUUGCAAUAAUGUAGAAAAAAAUAUGAAUGUGUAAAUGAAGGUAAAAAAUAGACAGGUUCUUUAAUUAUUUUGUACUAGAUUCAAAUCUGUAUGUUUAAUAUGUAUGUUAAAAUAUUUGGUAAACAAUUAACAUACAUAUCAAACACAAAUCAACAGUGUUCGAAAAAACGUUCUAGGCGUCCGCUCCGCUUUGUUCGAAAAAACGUUCUAGGCGUCCGCUCCGCUUUGACCGCCUAAAAUUGUAGUAUCAUCAUUUUAGUGUAUUUUUAAAUUUUAA